rnacentral:tRNA from 1 species
GGGGCUUAGCUCAGCUGGGAGAGCGCGUGAUUUGCAUUCAGGAGGUCAGGAGUUCGAUCCUCCUAGGCUCCACCA